rnacentral:rRNA from 1 species
AUGGGUUCUAAGAGGACUUGUCUUCUGAUCACUUACUAUCCUGAGAUAGUAGAUGGCGUGCCUUUGUAUGUGUCAUCUAAUUGCCUGCCUGUAAAAGCUUCCAAGUAUGAACCUGCUGGUCAUUCUUUCCAUGCGGUCGCACUGAAGCUCCGUGGUCUUGAUGAGAAAGAAGACACUGAAACUGAUGAUCGUAGUGUGUCAUCAGAUGACAAGAGCCAAGAUUUUUCUGCUGGUUCAGAUAACUUCAGCAGCAAAGGAAAGAAGAAGUCUGGUUCUGGAAGUCAACAACAAGAUCACUAUGCAUUGCUUGGAUUGGGCAACUUGCGGUUCUUGGCCACCGAAGAUCAGAUUCGGAAGAGUUACCGUGACAUGGCUCUUAAACAUCAUCCAGACAAGCAGGCUGCUCUUCUUCUCCAUGAGACAACAGAGGCAGCAAAGCAAGCAAAGAAGGAUGAGAUAGAGAGCCAUUUCAAGGCCAUACAGGAAGCUUACGAGGUCCUCAUGGAUUCUACCAAGAGAAGGAUUUUUGACUCAACUGAUGAGUUUGAUGAUGAUAUCCCAACUGACUGUGCACCGCAAGACUUCUUUAAGGUCUUUGGACCAGCCUUCAUGAGGAAUGGCCGAUGGUCUGUUACCCAGCCGAUUCCUUCUUUGGGAGAUGAUGCUACUCCUGUAGUGGAUGUUGACCAGUUCUACAAUUUCUGGUAUAACUUCAAGAGUUGGAGGGAAUUUCCACAUGAAGAUGAGUAUGACUUGGAGCAAGCUGAGUCUCGUGAACACAAGAGAUGGAUGGAGAGGCAGAAUGCGAAGAUACAAGAGAAGGCCAAAAAGGUAGAGUAUACGCGAGUACGUAAUCUUGUUGACAAUGCGUACAGGAAAGACCCAAGGAUCCAGAGGAGAAAGGAGCAGGAGAAGGCUGAGAAACAGAGGAGAAAGGAGGCAAAAUACAUGGCCAAGAAACUGCAGGAGGAGGAGGCUGCAAGGGCUGCAGAAGAGGAAAGGAAGAGGAAAGAAGAGGAGGCGAAGAUAGCCGCAGCAGCUGCUGACAUUCGAAAGAAGUUGAAGGAAAAGGAGAAGAAGUUGCUACGCAAAGAGAAAAAUCGCCUGCGCACACUUGUGGGCCAGGUAGUUGGUGAGUCCCACUUCAAUCUGUCAAAGGAGGAUGUUGAAACAGUAUGCACAUCACAUGAUUUUGAACAGUUGAAGAAACUCUGUGAUAUUAUGGAGGACAAGGAUACAGCUGAAAAGGCCAGGUUGCUGAGAGGUGCACUGAGCAAAGAAGAAAACUCCUCGAAUACCUCAAAAGAAGAGAAAAUUCAUGCCAAUGGUGUGGCAGAUUCUACUCCAAAAUCCACUGUCCCACAAGGCACUCCAAAAUCCACAGCCCCACAAGUCAUUACACUAGGCAACAAUGAGAAAAAAGAGAAAGAGUGGGGAAAGGAAGAGGUUGAAUUGCUUAGGAAAGCUACACAGAAGUAUCCGAAGGGAACUAACAAGAGGUGGGAGGUUAUUGCAGAGUUUAUUGGUACUGGUAGAUCUGUUGACGAGAUUUUGAAGGCCACGAAAACCGUUCUUCUGCAGAAGCCAGACUCUUCUAAAGCUUUUAACUCGUUCCUUGAGAAACGCAAAGCAGCUCCAUCUAUUGUAUCGCCUCUUUCCACAAGAGAUGAGACGGCUGGUGGCUCAACUGUGGGAGCUGGCACCGAACCAUCCAAGGCCGCUGAACAACCUGCUGCCAGCAGCAGUCAGACUGCUAAUGAGAAAACUGGUGCUGAUCCUGUCCCUGAAGAAGCACCUUCUGCAACAGAUCCAGAUGCUUGGUCAGAGGCCCAGGUGCUGGCCCUUGUUCAAGCUUUGAAGGCGUUUCCAAAGGAUGCAAACCAAAGAUGGGAGCGAGUAGCUGCUGCUGUCCCUGGUAAAACAGUGGUGCAGUGCAAGAAAAAGGUUACCUCAAUGAGGACGAACUUCCGGACCAAGAAGCUGGCCACACAAGAAGAAGAUUGGUCGAUUGCCUUUUGA